UAAAACUGUCAGGAUUUUCAGGCUACUGCUGGAAGUGGGCGCUGAAAGGACGAAUUUGCUUCAAGGAGAUCUCAUCCCGAGAGGAGAACAUCGUGCAUCUAAGUCUGCAGCCGGAUGAGACUCUGGUUCUCCACCACUGUAUUCCUGGUGCCUAGAACCACCUUGAAGUUAGUAGGUGCUCGGUAAAUAUGCAUGAAUGAAUCUAGCAGGACAAUAGGGCCCAAAGGACAUGAGGAGUGAACCUCCCUUGUGGAACAGUCAUUACAGGGAGGAUGUGUUCCUAAGACUCACUGAAAGCAAGAACUGGCCUUAACCACAGCAGGAAGAAACCUGUUCUUGGAAGAUUGGUGGCAAGUCUCUUGAGAGAGUAGGAUGUAAGAUACAGAAAAAAGCUGCUAAAGAUACAAAGAAGUGAAAGAAUGUACUCAUUGGAAAUACAAAUAGGAUAUUACACUCAAAUUUUGAUUCUCUCUAGGUCUUGACUCACCAAGUGACCCACAUAGGUCACGUAUGAGGAGAUCAAGGCCCCUUGGGCAGCCAUGGAACACUGAGGUGGUUACAAACUAAGGUGGUGGAGUCAAGACGACCACUUUGGGCAGAAAAGAAUUCCACUUCUAUUUGAUAGAGCUAUGCUCAAGUGACUUGCUUGAUAAAGCUAUGCUCAAGAUGACUUGCCUUGGAAUCUUAGCUCUGACAUUUUAUGACCUUGGACAAUCACUUCAAGCUCUUUAACACUUAAUUUCUUCAUUUGUAAAACUGGAAUAAUAAUGGUAACUACUGGAAAAGAGUUGUUACAAUGAUUCCAGUAAAUACUAGGGACAAGUAUUUAGUCUACGGCCUGACACGCUUUGAGGGCUCAAUGAUUGCCAUCUUCCUUUACUGCGCUCUUAGGAAUCCAGAGGCAAAUCUAAGUAUGUCAUCAGCAAGGACCAGAAGGGAAGAAUUCUUCCAAGAUAUACAAAGAAAUCCCUUUCACACGCCAAAAGUCUGUCGAUGGAGGAAGAAAACUUCGGCUAGUUCACCUUUUCCUUUUAUGGAUGAAGAAAUGGAAGUUCAGAAAAGGGAAGUGAAUUGGUUAAGGAGACAUCUGGAAGGUCUCCUGACCCUGUCCUAACUUGUUGCUACAACACAUUUCAUUUUGUCAUUUUGAUUUUUUUUCAAAUUUGGGUCUUCUUAUGAAUAUGUUUUUUUUUUUAAGACAGGGUCUUGCUAUGUUGCCCAGGCUGGCCUCAAACUCCAGGCCCAAGGGAUCCUCCCACCUCAGCCUCCUGAGUAGCUGGGACUACAGGUGUAAGCCACCCCUCCAAGUUCUAUGAGUAUCUUAUUACUGCAAACACUACAAAAAUAAUACCGUGAUACAUACUUUCUUGCUUUUUAGUUAAAGCCAUGCUAUCCCCUUUGCUCUUGCAGGUGCCAGGAGUAAGCAGACAGUCCUAGGAAUAUUGUAGGUGGAUCUGGGUUCCCCAGGGUGGUAGCAGUUCUCAUCUGUUCUCUGGAGGAUAAACUUCUGCCAUCUCCUCCCCUGUCAUGGCCUGAGCAGUGCCCUGCUGCUAAGGUGCCUUCAGCUGCUAGGGCUCCCCAGGGAUUGGCCCAGAGCACCUCUGAGGAGCAUAAUGUUUGGAACCAUCUUAGCCAGUUGUGUUGACAUAGACAAAUUAACUUGUCCUAUGUGUAUAUCAUAAGGUAAAGACAAUGUGAUGACAUAUACAUAUGUACUGUUAGUGAUUUGCUUCUUUUCCUGUUCUUACUCUCCAAGAACAAGGUAAAUAUCUGGGGCCAGAGAGAAUGACUCAGCCAUCUCUGAACUGACUUUGACUUUGCAGCCUGGUUUAAUGGAAGCAGAAAGUCUUUGGAAACAGACUUGGCCUCAAACCUCAGCUAUGCCACCUACUAGUUGUGUGGCUUUGGGUAAGUUAUUUGAGUUCAGUUUCCUCAUCCAUAAAUGACUAUUGUGAGGAUUAAAUAAGACGGUGCAUGAAACUGCUGGCAACUGUUAAAGCCUCUCCAUAAAUGUUAGUUCUCUUUCCUUUGUAAUACGUAGAUCAGGGUUUCUCAACAUUUAUCACUACUCCUGAGAAAGAGGCUUUGUAGACAUUUUAGAGAUUUCCCCCAUACAAAUUUAAUAGCAGAGAUAAACUGUAUAUCUGCUCAUGUGCUAUAUGCAUAUCUGUCUUUUAUACACUCAAAUAUAUAUUUGUUUGCCCUUGAUGAUCAAUUUUUCACCCAGUUGGGAGUGAUAUCUUCCCCAUUGAGAAUGAACAUCUUAAUGGAGUAGCCUGUACUCUACACUACCAGAUCAUUAAGUGACCCAUGGCACCAGUUUCACCUGUCUGAUGUGGCAUCUCGCCAGAGGAUUGAUAACAAUUUUCUGGAAAACAUUUAUAAAACCAAGUGAUCUGGAUUUAGAGAUACU
rnacentral:lncRNA from 1 species